rnacentral:ncRNA from 1 species
UACUUGGUGGCGUUAUUUUAUUUUUUUUUCUAACGAAAAGCCCUGCUGCAUCUCUUUGAGUUACUGUACCGUUCUCUUUAGGGCCGGUUAUCGGAAUGGGUACAGUUUAAAUCCGUUAGCGAGGAUCUGUGAGAGGGAAAGUAUGGUACCAGCAACCGCUGUAAUUCCAGCUCUCAAAGCGUAUAUCGUUAUUACUGUGAUUAAAAAGUUCAUAGUUGGAUUUGCGAUAGUUUCUGCGAAGGGCGUUACGGAGUAAUAUCUUGGUGUAAUAGUUUUCUUAUGGCAGUGAUUUACAGUUGUGUUUGUUCGUUUAGUGCUAGAUGAAGGCAUGAUGAGCCGUUUGUGGUCGGUUCGUGGCUUUGGUCAAGCAUGGCAUUGGCUUCGAGAGAAGCGAAGAGCUGAAAGUACGCCACUGAAUGCUUUCUUAACGUACAUCACAUUACCAUGGUCGACGGUUCUCGACGGUAAGUAACUGGGUAUUAUAUUCACCAAAUCAAAU